rnacentral:rRNA from 1 species
AUGUCCGAGGCCCAUGAUGAGUUUCUUCAGGUACCGAUCAUGUCCUCGGAGGGUCCGGUGAUGAUACAGUUCGUGUCCAACCCCAGCAUCGCCGGCAGCAGCGACGCGCUGUCGGCGUCGCUCAGCGCCUGCCCAUCGGGGAGGUCGGCGUCGGAGGUAGAGAUCGAAGUGCUCUUCCAUGACGCCGACGGUUACGUCUACGACGACGAUGGCUGCUGCACGGCGUCAUUGCUCGGCUGCGGCGGCGAGGACUUGGAGUCGGGCGGGGCGACGGCAAGGCUGCUUCGCUCGCCGUCGCCGGGCAUGGAGUUCGUGGAGCGUGACGGCAAGGGGGAGCCCAAGUGGAGCGAGAUGGAGCGAGUGAGGUUUGGCCGCUCGUGCUCGUCGCCUGGGAAGGCUGGUGAAAAUGAGUCUGCUAGUUCGGCGGAAGGGCCUGUUUUGGUCAAUCAAAACAGCAAUCCUAAAAGAUCCAUCAGUCGUUCUUCUAGCCAUGGGAUCAGAAUAGCAUUGGAUAGCUGUGAAAGAAACUCAAGUAGCAAUCUCAAUGAAAAAGAUAUCAAACAGGCGAUAAUGUUCAGUGCCUCUUUGAACAAGCUCUCAUUAAGCCAAGACGAAGCAACUGAAUACACACACUUGAUCCUAGAAGAAAUCCAAACAGGCCAGGGACUAGCAAAGCUGAGCGGAACAAGAAAGGGGACACUGAAUGAUCUCCAACCAACUUGCUGGUCAACACCUAUACCAACCAAACACAUACAAUGUAUGACAUCGACAGCAAUUGUCUUCUUUCGUGCUCACUGGAGACGAAUAUGGGUAAUUGUCAUCUGGCUUGUAGCAUGUGCUGCACUCUUCACUUGGAAGUUCAUGCAGUAUCGCCAGCGAUUGGCAUUUGAGGUCAUGGGAUACUGCCUGCCAACUGCCAAGGGCGCUGCAGAGACUCUUAAGUUUAACAUGGCCAUUGUGCUCCUACCUGUAUGCCGUAACACUAUCACUUGGCUUAGGAGAAGCCGUAGCAUCAACUCUGUCAUUCCAUUUAAUGACAAUAUUAACUUCCACAAGCUUGUUGCUGCAGGAAUUGUGAUCGGCAUAAUCCUCCAUGGUGGUACUCACCUAUCAUGUGACAUCCCAAGGAUUGCAAUGGCAGAUAAGACCAUUUUUGGGCGCACAAUUGCUCGUGACUUUGGCUAUCACCAGCCAUCAUACAUGGAGAUAGUGACAUCAAUCGAGGGGACAACUGGUAUAGCCAUGGUAGUGCUCAUGCUGAUUGCUUUCCUGCUUGCCAGUAGGCCUUCAAGAAGAAAUCCAGGAUCACUCCCACCUCUGGUCAGACAGAUGGCGGGAUUCAAUGCUUUCUGGUACUCACAUCAUCUGUUCAUUGUUGUCUACGUUCUGCUCAUCGUGCAUUCCAUGUUCCUCUUCCUAGCAAAAGAUGUAUCAGAGAAGACGACAUGGGUGUAUGUGGUGAUUCCUGUGAUGAUCUACCUUGGAGAGCGAAUGUUCAGGAUGGUCAGAUCUAUGGCAUAUGAAUCGAAGAUCCUCGAUGCAAUGACUUAUCCAGGGAAGGUACUUUCUCUCAAGAUGGCAAAGCCUCCAGGUUUUCGCUAUCAAAGUGGAAUGUAUGUCUUUGUCCAAUGUCCACAAGUAUCGAAGUUUGAAUGGCACCCAUUUUCUCUUACCUCUGCACCAGAUGAUGAUCAUUUGAGCAUCCACAUCAGAUCUCUGGGUGACUGGAGCUACCAUGUGUAUGAUAUGUUCCAUGAGGCACUGCGUUGCAGCAACCUCGACCUGCCAAAAGUAUCCAUUGAUGGCCCAUACGGUGCAGCAUCACAAGAUCACUCGAAAUAUGAAAUUAUCUUGCUAAUAGGGCUUGGAAUAGGAGCAACACCGUUCAUAAGUGUCCUCAAAGACAUUGCCAAUGGCCUAGAUAAGGAAGGCUGCGCAGCAAAUCAUCAUAGUGCCAAUGGGCUGAGGAAGGCCUACUUUUAUUGGGUGACAAGAGAGCAAGGAUCCUUUGAGUGGUUUAGGGACAUCAUGAAGGAGGUUUCAGCUCGAGACAGCAAACAGGGUGUGAUAGAGAUGUACAACUAUCUAACAAGCGUCUACCAGGAAGGUGACAAGCGGUCAGUGCUGAUAAGCGCAAUUCAGGCUCUUCAUUUUGCGCGCCAUGGCAUUGAUAUCAUCUCGAAAACUCCAGUCCGUACACACUUUUCGAGACCGAACUGGCCUAGGGUGUUCCAUGGUCUUGCAAGAAAACAUAUCGGUGAAAGGAUAGGGGUUUUCUACUGCGGGCCGGAUGAUUUGGGAAGACAACUGGAAAGACUCUGCCACAAAAUGAACAUGAGAACAUUCACUAGAUUUGUGUUCCACAAGGAGCAUUUUUAG